UGGAGGGAUUUUUCGAUAAAUGGAGCCGUUUUGUAAGAGUUCUUGGGUGUGUGUAUUGGGUACGGUUUUCACAAGGUACUCCGUAUUCUCAAUGCAGCAAUAACAUGUUCUAAUCUAAUUACAGAAUACAGAUUACAGAUUACAACAAUCAUGGAUCAUGGGAUGCGAUUCUGGGAAGUCUUCCGAAAUCCAGGUAUCAAAGGCAAAUUCAAGUCCUGGUUGUUUGAAUUGAUUUGUCAUUGGUUCUGGGUUGUGAAUGGUAAACGGGAUCCCUUUACAAAUGAAUUACGUCCGCAUCUUAUCUUGCACACAAGGUGUUUGAUAGAAGUCCUCAAAGAAAUAUGAGGAAUAAUUGGCAUCUUAAAUCAAAAAAAAAAAAACAUAAAGGACGAUGUCUUGAUGAGUGAGCAUUCACCAUCUCUCAAAAUGGUGCUAUAUAAUAUGUAAGGCAACUGGAUGAGAAACUAAAAAAUAUAUUAUAUAUGCAAGUAAAGUAACAACUCACCAAUGCUUAAAAUCUUUAAGCCCCAGGUCCUCAAAUGUCUUAUAC
rnacentral:lncRNA from 1 species